ensembl:lncRNA
GUGGCAGGGAGCCCAUUCUUUCCCAACAGAAAACAUAGUACAUAAGGUACUGAUCAGAUAAUUCUUGCAUUAUUUUAAAGAGUUAAUUUUUUAGAAACAUAAGUACAGCAUAUCAUUUGGAAACUUGUCCGAUUUGUUUGCAUUUGUCUCCAGGUGCAAUUGUUCUUACAAGUCCCAAACUGAAAAGGAAAAUGAAAGCAAAUGUAGACAACAUUUUAUUUCACUCCUGCGCAACUCCUUGCUUUGUGAGUUCACUGGACUUCAUAGGUAUAGGCUGUUUGUCAGCAGUAGUGGAAUCUAAUUUUCCCCCUUACUACCAAGAAACUGGAGUGUGACUAAUCAGGAAAAACAUACAUUGCUAUUUCAAGGUGGUGACUCGGUUUCUGAAAUGCUUUCCAAUGAGAUUCUAAGCAGAAGCAAUUGGUGUUAAUAUGGCAACUUUCCAAAACUUACUGUUUGCUUUCCUACUGUUGAAUGUUUUAAGUUAUAUUCAAGCAGGGGAUAAUUGUUUAUCAUGUUCAAAACCCAACAUUGCAGAACUUGGAAAAGGCAUUAUGAUUAAAUGCAAGAGUAAGACACCCAUUCAUUUGAUAGGAUUGAAAUUCUGCACCCUCAAGGGAGAUAACUGUUUUGCCAAAAUCAUCAUCAAAGAACAGAAUGGAAGCUGGACUGAAAAUGAAACAACUUUGAAAUUGUACAACAGUUGUACAGCUUUUCUAAGUAUUUAUCCAAUAAAGAUAUCACAUGAAGGAAACUAUAUAUUAAAUUAUAUAACUGAAAAUGGUAUGGGUAACCUGACUAUAUGUCUAGAGGUGUUUGCACCAUAUACAAGGCCUCAAAUAAUGAAACAGGAGGACAUACUUAUUUGUACAGCAUCUGGAGGUUACCCAGAGGAGAAGUUCUAUUGGGUUUCUAAAACUGGAACUAAUCUGAUCCAUAAGGCAACAUCUCAGUCGGUGAAAAAUGAGGAUGGGUCAUUCAGCCUAAGCAAUAUCCUUCAGCUGGAAUCUGCUCCCUCUGAAACUGAAUAUUGCUGCAUUUUCAACCAGACAAGAGUUCCUAACAGACAGCCAGUCUCUGAAUGUAUGACACUUGAAAAUGCUAAAACUUCCACGAUUAUAACAGAAGAGACCACACUGAAUAUGACCGGGGUAAUAGUCAUUGUGAUAAUUGUUAUUUCAUUGGUUUCCAUUUUAUUGGCUGUAAUGUGGUGGAGGAAAAAGAGGAAAAAUUGUCUUCUGCAAGAAAUAGCAGUCAUGCAAAGAAUUCACUUAUUAGAAUAGAGAGUUUUCCCUGCUUUCUUCCAAUUCAAGGAAAAAAAAUUGGAAGAACGUACUUGUAAACUCGAUUGCAGAAAAUACGACUUCAGCAACAGAGGGUCAACGCCUGGAACGCCCUACCCAACUCCAUUGUUACAGCCUCAACCCUUCACAGCUUCAACCUCAAACUGUCUACUGUAGACUUCACCCCAUUCCUAAGAGGUUCUUAAAGGGGACAUGCAUAAGUGCACCAGUGUGCCUACUGUCCCUGUCUUAAUGUCCCCAUUUAUCAGUAUCUACUUCCUUUGUUCAUGUUUAUGUUUAUACCUAAACUUGUUAUCUUGUACAUGUUUAACAAAUGAAAUAAAUAAAUGAAUAAAAUAUCCA